CUCGUGGCACAGCUUUGAUUACUCUGGUCGUUCGUCUUGUCCAGAGAAACAUUACAUUGCUGGCCUUGAGAGAUCCUUAAGCAGCGAUCACACCAAAGAUUAUAUUUACCACAUUGAAGGAGCUCAAUGUUGCAAAGGUACAGGUGGUUAUAGUGAUCGCGCAUCUCAGUGUUUGAAUGCAAACUGGGUAAGAAGUUUUGAUAGAAAUAACCAAUGGAACAUGUGUCCCAGUGGAUAUUUCCUCAGUGGCCUGGAGCGGAGUGGAAGUAUCAAAGACGGUAGAAAUUUCCUCCACAACAUUGAGUAUGGAUACUGCUGUAGACCAUAUGAUGCUCCUUCUGGAUAUAAACAUUGUUACAAGGCAAAUGUUUGGGCUCAUUUUAAUCAUAAUGAUCACGGGAUGAUUUCGUGUGGUCGCCCUGGUUACUACAUUACUGGUAUAUAUCGAUCAGUGUGUGAUUUGGUCUAUUGCAUCGAAGAGUUUAUGUGCUGCUCCAUGUCCAUGAUGUCAUAAUCAGGUUCAUCGACGGGUUUACAACUUGACGAAAACUAGCACGUACAAAAAUGAUGACCAAGAUAAAAUUUGACUAUCCUGAUUAUAGAG
rnacentral:lncRNA from 1 species